GAGUUUGAUCAUGGUUCAGGACGAACGCUGGCGGCGCGCCUAACACAUGCAAGUCGAGCGGAGAUAUUAGUAAUAAUAUCUUAGCGGCGGACGGGUGAGUAACGCGUGGGCAACCUACCUUAAAGAGGGGAAUAACUUAGGGAAACUUAAGAUAAUACCGCAUAACACUAUAGUAGAGCAUUCUACAGUAGUCAAAGGAGUAAUCCGCUUUAAGAUGGGCCCGCGUCUGAUUAGCUAGUUGGUGGGGUAACGGCCUACCAAGGCAGCGAUCAGUAGCCGAACUGAGAGGUUGAUCGGCCACAUUGGGACUGAGACACGGCCCAGACUCCUACGGGAGGCAGCAGUGGGGAAUAUUGCGCAAUGGGGGAAACCCUGACGCAGCGACGCCGCGUGGAGGAAGAAGGUCUUUGGAUUGUAAACUCUUGUCGACAGGGAAGAAAAAAGACGGUACCUGUGGAGGAAGCCCCCGGCUAACUACGUGCCCAGCAGCCCGGGGUAAUACGUAGGGGGCUAGCGUUGUCCGGAAUUACUGGGUGUAAAGGGGCGUGUAGGCGGGAUAUUAAGUCAGAUGUGAAAGGCCCGAGGCUCAAUUUCGGGACUGCAUCUGAAACUAAUAUUCUUGAGUGCAG
rnacentral:rRNA from 1 species